AAGUGUGCAGAAAAAAAUACGUAGACCAUGAACAUUGUUAAAUAAGUUUAGACUAUUGCAGAUUAACAUAAAAUGAAAUUUGCUCUCACUCAGGAAAAUGGUUUUUGGGCUGAUCAACAUAAUUUAAACCUGAAGCUUGUGAUCCGAAGCUUCGAGAACUUUUUAGUUAAGAACCAUACUUACCGAAGAAUGUGUAUUUACAGACUAUUACUGUUUACUACUAACUAAAAGAUUGGACACGCUGUGACAUUCCAUGUAUAUGGAUUCGACUAUUGCAGAUGUAUACACACAACGCCGAAUACUAUUUUCUACGUUUAUUCAUCCGUAUAGAAAAAGAUAUUUGAUAGUCUUAACCUCCGUAAGCUGUGACAAUAAGUUUCUGGAAAAUAAUAGCAUGCAACGAUCUCGAGUUUAAUUGAAUUGAAGUUGAAAUGAAUGUUUGAAUCCGUCGAAUAGAUGUUCAGCAUCAAAGAACUAAAUAGGGAUUGCAUAAAUAAUAUAAAAUUGAAUAAAAAAAAAUAUGCAUUUUAUAGAAUAUAAUACUUUAUUAAUAAAAGAAUAUUGUAAGUACUAUUACUAAUAAUUAGGCAAUUU
rnacentral:lncRNA from 1 species